CGAAGUACUGCAGUCGCAAACACGGGAAAUAAGAUGCAGACGUCCCACAGGCCUGUGCAGUGGCUCGCUGUCAUGCUUCUUGUCAUUGUUACAACAGUCCAGGGCCAACAAAGCGACAGUCGCCGAGCUGUGACCGAACACCAGCUGAUGCACGACCGCGGCCGAACCAUCCAGAGUCUCAAGAGACUCUUCUGGCUGUCCAGCGCAAUUGAGGGUCUCCACACAGCACAGACCCGCUCUGCUGCUUUCAGCCCCACAAAGGUCUUAAAUCUGGCUCUGAAUCCAGAGCUGAUCCCUGAUGAUGGAAACCCCCAGAAUGCCCAAGUCAGGAGCCUCCUGAGAGACUUCUCUAAUCUGUACCUGUCAAACGGAGACGACUAACAAUGCACAGAAGCAAAACAUGAAGCUGAACAUAUAUAAAAAAUUUAUUGUAUCAAUUGUUUGAAUAAUAAAAUGCACAAAAAGCACAACUACAAAAUCAUCCCGAGUGCCCAAAGCACCCAUUCAGCUGCAGAUGUGUCUCAAGUGUUUAAAAGCAGCUGUAAGUUUAAGUUUAGUUAAUAGAGCUGCAUGAAAGUGUACCAGUGGGUAUAGUGGUAAGGUUUCAAUGUAGGACUGCAUACGUCUAUAUGACUGCAUAGGCUUUAAAAAAUAUUUAUUGGGGUUUUUUGAUGUUGUUGUUUUUUAAUCAUGACUGAAUAUCACACGUUAAGGCAAACACGACAAAUUAUCUAGAAAACGAAUAUAAAACUUGUGGGUUAUUGCAGACUUUUUUCAAUAUGCAGCUUUAGUUUUAGGACCAGCACAUUCAUGUGUUUGAAAUUUCAUAACUGCAGAUGAUGCCUGGAAAACCCAAAGUCACAACAGACCAAACUGUGACAGAUAAAAGAUACAUGAUUUAGUCUGUUAUAUAUUUAUUCAUGGAAAAAUACGCUUUUUUUGUUCAGAUAUUUUAAAAAAAGUCAUACUUAUACUAAAAUGGACAGUUUAAAUUGUGACGUUCUUUUUUUGACCAUUUCCCUACAGCUGGUUACCUGGUUAAGUUGAAUAGGCUUACUUUUUGUAAACGAAAUGCUGUAACCCUUUAGUUUUCAAAUUUGGGAAAAAAAAUGACCACCUGGUAACAGCAAGCAUAUAUAUUUAAAAGACUAUAUGCAGAUUUUUCCUGUAUAAAUUCUUUGAAUUAUAAACACAUCACCCCCGAUAUAUAAAAGCUAUAAUAGGUCACCCAGCUCUGCUACAUAUUUCAGCUCUCAUUCUUGUCCAUCAAAUGCAAAUAUACAAAUUUUUGUUUCGGCAGAAAGAUGGCGAAAGUAUGAAGCCUAGAAAAAAGUGUGGGACAGAGACACUUUCAGAACCCGCACAAAGGCAUGUAGCAGUUUUAAAGAACCUGAUCUGGAUGAGAACCAAAAUUUAUUGGGUUCUUUUAAAUAGUUUUUAUGUGAUUUUGCUGGCAGAGAAGCAGCAUGGGAUUCCCAAAUACAUUUGGGAGAAAACAACGCUCCUACUUCAACAAAACUUAAAUUGCGUAAAUUGGUUAAUUUGUUUUUUUUAAAUACCCUCUUUAAUGUCCACCUUAUAACAUAAAAAUAGCAUUUUAAUUAUGUUAUCUUCUUGUAAUGUUAAAAGGUCCUUGAAGCAUUAGACAUAUUUACAUACCUGCAGCUAUGCCUUUCCCACACCUCAGUAGUGCUUUUUUUUUUUAUCAUUAACUGAAAUGUUUUCAGGUUGGUCUCUUUUGUCCUUUAUUGUGCUGCUUUGAGCAAAUUUGCCUGAUGCACAACAGUGUUGUUGAUUUUUUGGAGGUGUCCGUUGCUCUGCAUCCUACAGCUGCCCAUAGCAUCCCUCUCUGCACAGUUUUUGCAGGGAGUCUAACCUGAACUUAACACGCAUCGUAGCACUGUGUGCUAUGAUAAGUUCUGAAUAAAGAACCCGAGAAAGUAAAUGCAGAGGUAACAGCAAGCUUUAAGUCGAACAGAGUAACAGAAAAAUUGAAAAAACUAAGCUGAACACAUUUUGAGACAGCAGCAUCGCACAGGAACGCAGCCAGUCUGACAAAAGCAAAGGCAAAACUAUUGAAAACCACACAGAAAGACGCAGACUACAAGGAGACCACAGAGAUUUAAGAGGUGCCCCUGAAUGUAAGCAUCUCCAUCCAACGAUUACAAAAAGUCCUAUUGUCCAAUGAGUAUUAUACAGUAACCAAGACCCAAACAAAGAUGUGUUGCCUAACAAAACAAGGAUGUGGCUGCAGGUGAAGACCAUGUUAUAUGUACAGCAGAAAAGGCUGCUGUAAUUGAACAUAACUCUCUAUUGAGCGUUAUGUUCAAUUACAGCAGCAUGGUCUGAUUUAACUCCUAUACUGAAAGCUGACUGAGGAUUUUGACUUUCAGCCUUUUCAGUGAAUUCGUGUUACAAAGUGAACGAUUACAGACACAAAAAAGCCUGCAAUACAGGAAGGAAUGAGGGGCUUUAGGCUGCAGUUACUACAUUCAAGAAGACUGAUGCAACUGUGUAAGAGGGAGAGGAAAGGAGGGAAAUGAUGACUCCUUUAGAUCUUAUUGCAAAUAUUUGAAAUCAUUUGCAUUUGGCUUUGUGCAACUUUUAUGCAGCUGUCAGCAUGUUGGAAAAUGCGCAUGGUCAUUGUGCUUUUCUUGGCUGCGUUAGACCAGUGCUUUGUGUAAAAUAAAAUCAGUGCGUUGUGGUUGGUUCAGUUGUGAAAAUGCAAAACUGUGUUAAGUUUAACAUGUCAUAUAGUGCAGCUUGAAUUUACCCAGAGUCUCAGUAACAUUUACAAAUUUGUGUGAUCAGUGUAUAAAGAAAUGUGCAAGUAUGUAUGCAACACUAAU